GCUGGGCGUGGUGGCUCAUGCCUGUAAUCCCAGAACUUUGGGAGGCUGAGGUGGGAGGAUCACCUGAGGUCAGGAGUUUGAGACCAGCCUGGCCAACACGGUGAAACCCCGUCUCUU
rnacentral:SRP_RNA from 2 species